AUGGCCAGCCCCGCGGAGAGCUCUCGCCGGCGGGAAGAAGACCGCACUCCAUCUCCUUCCAGGUCUUCCUCUUCUCGCCCCAGCAAGUGCAGGACGGCGGCCGAGAGACUCACCGACGACCUCCUCGUGGAGGUCCUCUCGCGCGUCCCGGCCAAGUCGCUCUGCCGCUUCAAGUGCGUCUCCAACCACUGGCUCAGCGUCAUCGACCACCCCGACCACCGCAAGAAGCUGCCCCAAACCCUCACCGGCUUCUUCCACGGUAGCAGCAACCUCGAGGAUUGGAUUCUGGAAUCACCUGUCCUCUUCACCAGCGUGUCGCCCUCCCCUCCCAUGGACACCUCAUUCGCCUUCCUGCCCAACCACCAGCAGUUCGAUCUGUUAGACAGCUGCUACGGUCUCCUCCUCUGCCGCUUGUACAACGUCUCGGCUGAGGUUGGCAAGUGCCAUUAUGUGGUGUGCAAUCCUGCCACGGAGAAGUGGGUCCUGUUGCCGGACUCCGGCCAGGACAGUGUCAACGCAUGUUUGGGCUUCAACCCAGCCCUGUCUUCGCAUUUCCAUGUGUUUGAGUUGGUGGAGGAGCAGGAUAACUACAUUUCCGGAGUGGCAGUGUAUUCGUCAGAAACCGGAGUUUGGGUUUACAAGGAAAACAGAUGGAACAAACGUGUCAUGCUCAUUGAGCUUCAGCCAUCAUUUGUAUUUCUUAACGGCUAUCUGCAUUUUCAAGUCGAUGGCCAUGACUUUUCCCGUUAUCUAGCUGUGGUGGACACGGACGGGGAAACAUGGAUGAACUUCAGUGUCCCUGGUGGCCUGCUUAACGGUUUUAUUCAACAUUCACAAGGCCGCUUGCAUUAUGCCAAUUUUCAGAGAGAUGAACAUGGUGGUGUCUUUCGACUAGUGGUUUAUGUUCUUGAGAACUACCAAAGCAAAGAAUGGACAUUGAAGCAUAGCGUUGAAACUUCAUACAUACUUGGAAGGACAGAUUACUGCAUUGAUGGGUUUGAUUGGAUUGCGAUUCAUCCGGAAUGCAACUUGAUAUUCUUCACUAUUGGGCAGGAACUCAAACUCAUGUGCUAUAAUAUGGAUCGUCGGCAACUCAAAGUGAUCUGCAAUCUUGAAGGUGUCACGCCGCCAUAUCUGUCAUAUGUGCCAUUGUAUGCAGAGUUAGAGGCACUGCACAUUUGA
rnacentral:rRNA from 1 species